rnacentral:rRNA from 4 species
UUUUAUUUGAGAAUUUGAUCCUGGUUCAGGAUGAACGCUGGCGGUGUGGAUAAGGCAUGCAAGUCGAGCGGUUCGAUUUCGUCGCAAGACGAAAUCGAAUAGCGGCGAACGAGUUAGUAACACGUAGGAACUUACCCCAAAGACGGGAAUAACCCUCCGAAAGGAGGACUAAUACCCGAUGGCAUGAAGGUUAAAAUCUUCAUUAAAGUCGCAAGACGCUUUGGGAGAGGCCUGCGGGCUAUCAGCUAGUUGGUAGGGUAAUGGCCUACCAAGGCGAUGACGGCUAGGGGGCGCGAGAGCGUGUUCCCCAACGUAAGGGACUGAGACACGGCCCUAACUCCUACGGGAGGCAGCAGUCGAGAAUAUUUCGCAAUGGGCGAAAGCCUGACGAAGCGACACCGCGUGAAGGAAGAAGGCCCUCGGGUCGUAAACUUCUUUUGACAGAGAACAAGCCGCAAGGUUGAGCGUAUCUGUAGAAUAAGGCGCUGCUAACUUCGUGCCAGCAGCAGCGGUAAUACGAAGGCGCCAAGCGUUAUCCGGAUUUAUUGGGCGUAAAGAGUUCAAAGGGGGUCAUGUUAGUCCGAUGUCAAAGCUCGCAACUCAAUUGCGAAAGCGCGUCGGAAACGGCAUGACUUGAGGAAAUUAGAGGCAAGUAGAACGGCUGGUGUAGGGGUGAAAUCCGUUGAUAUCAGCCGGAAUACCAAAGGCGAAGGCAUCUUGCUGGAAUUUUCCUGACCCUGAAAGAACGAAAGCGUGGGUAGCGAAUGGGAUUAGAUACCCCAGUAGUCCACGCCCUAAACGAUGAGUGCUCGCUGUUUGAAGUAUCGACCCUUCAAGUGGCUUAGCUAACGCGUUAAGCACUCCGCCUGGGAAGUACGAGCGCAAGCUUAAAACUCAAAGGAAUAGACGGGGACUCGCACAAGCGGUGGAGCAUGUGGUUCAAUUCGACAAUAACCGAAAAACCUUACCUGGCCUUGACACUCUAACAAUAACCUCGCGAAAGCAAGGUGUGUUCACAAGACGGUUAGAGCAGGUACUGCAUGGUUGUCGUCAGCUCGUGCCUUGAGGUGUUCCGUUAAGUCGGGAAACGAGCGCAACCCCUGUUGCCAGUUACAAGUGUCUGGCGAUACUGCCCCGAGAGACGGGGAGGAAGGAGGGGACAACGUCAAAUCAGCAUGGUCCUUUGAUGGCCAGGGCUACACACGUGCUACAAUGGGAAAUACAAAGGGUUGCCAAGCCGUAAGGCGGAGCUAAUCCCAUCAAAAUUUCCCCCAGUUCAGAUUGAGGGCUGCAACUUGCCCUCAUGAAGAUGGAAUCGCUAGUAAUCGCGGAUCAGCAUGCCGCGGUGAAUACGUUCUCGAGUCUUGUACUCACCGCCCGUCAUACCAAGGGAGCCGGGAAUGCCUUAAUUCUGACUUUAUGUCGGACCACGGUAAGCUCGGUAACAAGGGUGAAGUCGUAACAAGGCAUCGCUAGCGGAAGCUGGUGAUGGAUCAUCUCCUUU